AACGAUGUUCUGACCCCGUCUUAGGCAAACACCUCCUCCUGUGGCUCUGGCAGAGACCAGCUCCAGCCCUGUCUGCUGGGUCCUUCCAGCCUGUCGUGUCCUGUUGUGUCCUGAGCUCCUGCUGGCUGUCAGGCAUGCUUGCUGGUGCUUCCUGGUGCGCGCAGAGCCCCGGGGUUGUCAUCACUGAUUCCUGCAUUGAUCUGUCUGCACCCCCUCUUCAUAAGUUCAAGGGUGGGACCCCCUUCUUACUUGUCUUUGCACCCUCUGGACCUGGCUGUGCUCAGUGAAAUGGAAGGAAAUGGAAAUGAAAUGGAAGGAAAGUUAAGUGCCCAGAGAAGUGGAUGAGACGGGGUCCCCACCCCAAGGUACUUUGAGAACAUCCCCAAGGGUCUAGACCAGGAAGGCUGGACUCGAGGUGGCAUCCAGCCCCAGAUGCCAGGAGGCUACGCCCUCAGCCAGCCGGUCAGCUGCAUGGAGGCCACCCCCAACCCCAUGGAGAGCCUGCGGCACCUGCAUCCCCACGUGGGAAGAACCCUGACCUCAGCCGACCCCUUCUACCAGAACACACCUCACAGCAGCCGCUGCGUGGCACACAGCUGAGCCCUGAGCCCUUGGUAAGGGGCUGGGGACCCCCACACUCAGCUGCUCUGGUUGUGUGGGCAACCGUUAUGGGCCAGCCCUGCCUCCCAAGCCCUGGGUUAAGCAAGUCCUGCCUGGGGACCCCCCUUCCAAGUGGGGGGUGACAGAUCAGGGGGCCUCUCAGAACCCCUUCUCUGCCAGGCAAGCACACAGAACCACCCCAGAGCCCCUCGCUCAGGCCUCGCCUCUGCUUCUCC
rnacentral:lncRNA from 1 species